AGACCCCGUGCACCUUUACUACAGCUUCGCACUGGCAUCAGGAUUGUGAUGUGCAGGAUAGGUGGUGGGCUUUGAAGCAGAGACGCAAGUCUUUGUGGAGCCUCCCUUGAGAUACCACCCUUCGCACUCUUGAUGUCUAACCGCGGUCCGUUAUCCGGAUCCGGGACCCUGCGUGGCGGGUAGUUUGACUGGGGCGGUCGCCUCCGAAAGAGUAACGGAGGCGCGCGAUGGU
rnacentral:rRNA from 1 species